UCGCUCUUCAACGAGGAAUCCCUAGUAAGCACAAGUCACCAGCUUGUGCUGAUUACGUCCCUGCCCUUUGUACACACCGCCCGUCGCUACUACCGAUUGAAUGGCUUAGUGAGGCCCUCGGAUUGACUUUCAGAGACUGGCAACAGUCUUUGAUUGUUGAGAAGUUGGUCAAACUUGGUCAUUUAGAGGAAGUAAAAGUCGUAACAAGGUUUCCGUAGGUGAACCUGCGGAAGGAUCAUUAUUAUUUGGGUCGGGUUUACCUCUUGUCUAGUUUUUUGUGCUCAAUAUUCAAGAGGAGGUAAACUUUUACCAAAUAAUCCUAUUUCAAAAUAGGAGCAAGAACCCCCUUAUAUUUAAAACCCACUCUUAAAAUAUUCUUACGUAUUUUGAAUGAUAAAAAUUAAAGAUCACUUUCAACAACGGAUCUCUUGGCUCUCGCAUCGAUGAAGAACGUAGCGAAGUGCGAUAAGUAAUGUGAAUUGCAUAAUUCCGUGAAUCAUCGAAUCUUUGAACGCAAAUUGCACUUUCUGGUAUUCCGGGAAGUAUGCCUGUUUGAGGGUCAGUUAAAUUAAAAUCGGUGUUGUUGCUACCCGUAGUGGUGUGUGAUGCAUCGGAAUUGAGUCGUUCUUUACCUUUGGUUUAAGUGACUUAAAAUUAUGUUCGAUUUUUUGAACGUAUUUAAAUUAUUACUUACGUUCGUAAUAUUCACAUAUUAGGUGCGGUCAUUCACAUGAUUUCGCGUCUAUAAUUUUUCAUUAUUUGACCUCAAAUCAGGUAAGAAUACCCGCUGAACUUAAGCAUAUCAAUAAGCGGAGGAAAAGAAAAUAACAAUGAUUCCCUUAGUAACGGCGAGUGAAGGGGGAUAAGCUCAAAUUUUAAAUCUGCUAGGUUUUACCUAUCAGAGUUGUAAUUUGAAGAAGCGUUUUCCGCGUCUCGGUUGACCCAAAUCCUUUGGGAUAUGGUAUCAUGGAGGGUGAGAAUCCCGUCCGGUUGACUUUGUGACGCUUUACGAUACGUUUUCAAAGAGUCGAGUUGUUUGGGAUUGCAGCUCAAAAUGGGAGGUAAAUUUCUCCUAAGGCUAAAUAUUGGCGAGAGACCGAUAGCGAACAAGUACCGUGAGGGAAAGAUGAAAAGAACUUUGAAAAGAGAGUAAAAUAGUACGUGAAAUUGUUGAAAGGGAAACGAUUGAAGUCAGUCGUGCGGGCGGGUAAUCAGCUUGGUCUUCGGGCCUUGUGCACUUUCCCGUCUCGCAGGUCAGCGUCAGUUUUGAUCGCCGGAUAAAAGCCAAGGGAAUGUGGCCCCUCCGGGGGUGUUAUAGACCUGGCAAAUACGGUGGUCGGGACUGAGGUCUGCAGCCGAUGCUCCUCGUUGGGCUGGGGAAUCCGUCGCUCGUGCGCGCCCGUGUCCGGACAGCUUGCUGACCGGAUGUGGGUCCAGCGUACGACUCGGCGGCCUACCACAAACUUUCGGCUUAGGUCGCUGACUUAAUGGUUUUAAAUGACCCGUCUUGAAACACGGACCAAGGAGUCUAACAUAUAUGCGAGUGUUA
rnacentral:rRNA from 1 species